rnacentral:lncRNA from 1 species
CCCGAAGAGAGACGGGACACGGUGGUCGUAGCUGAUUCCGUGCGGGCACAUCACGACUGAGUUCGCCCACUCACAGGCAGUAGGAAAGAGGUGGACGAUUUGACAAUGUGGUGACCAAUGCAGCGGAGGAAGAAAGGGGGGGCUCGAGGUGCCGAGCCAGCGUGUGGGUUCUGCAACAGGGACGGAGCCAAUAGGGAAUUGAGGGGUUGUUCUGGCGGCGGUCAUGGUGUUGUCUCAUUGGCUGUGAGCGGUACGCUUUGGAUUCGCGUGUGCGGGGGCUCCGUUGAUGUGAAAUGCCGUGAGACUGACGAAGUGUGGAUAGUGUGGACUAUAUUUCACCUAGCCGAUAUGGAGGUUCAUAUGUCUGUUUUGCUGCAGAUAGGUGGCGAUGUGGUGAUAGAGGGUCCCACAGGGACGAAGACAACGGGUGAGGGAAUGCUGAAGGCCGGCAUGUGGCAUGAGGUGGCCGUGAAAUUGGUGGCGCAUGCUCUUGUAUACACCUGGAAGACGGUCGAGGUAUGGGACGUGACGCCUGUUCAAACCUAUUAUUGACCUAGGUUAUUGGCAGGGACCGUUGUGGUAUGCUGCUCUCCUGCAUGCGUCAAUUCCAGAACCGCGAAGUAGGAACUUGCUGACAUGGAGACGGACAACGGUUAAUGCACACGUGUUGACGCAACAAAUGGGCGACGUGAAGGAGAGGCAGUCUCUGGUGCUGUAAUUCUGGGAGGGUCGAUGUAAUGUUCUAUCGCGUGCCUGUGCGUGUGUUGCCGAUGAUCGGAUUUGAAUAUUUGAAUACUUGAGAUUGGAAGCGACCAUAAGAUGCGCAUAAACACGGCUACGUCGCUUGUAUUCGCUAUGCAGUGACGAUGUGGUUGUGUCAGGUUGCCGAAGUACGAGGCGGACAGGAUAUCAAUAUAGUAGUAGUGCACGAGUGAGGUGGGCGCAGUUGUCGUAGCGGUGAAGUGGUAAGCACGAUGGAGGAGUAGUGCGUAGGUUCUGUUGUCGGACGGUGAAAGUGGCACACGACCGCGCGGAAAGAACUGACAAUGGGACGCUGGUACGGGGGCACAGGUCACCGGCUUCUUAUAGGUUGGACGAGUUCGUGACUACGCUCUUCAGGGGGCUAGGGGACCAGCCGGGUGAGAUAUGUUGCGUAUGAAGCGUGUGUCAGGGUAACAUGGGACAGGAUAUGCCGUGGUUGUCUACUAUGGACAUCGGAUUGCGCGCGUGUGCCUGCAUCGAUCGACGAUUGGGAGCACACUUGCUUGCGAAAAACGGAAACUCACAGACAAAGAGUUGACGCCUACCCUCGAUGAAGAAAAGUGUCUCUUUUGAAGACCAUAUGGACAGAACUGAGACGAAAAUUGUCUCGCAAAGCUUAUGGGAACGGUAGAAUGAUAUGCAUGUGUGGGUUGAUGGUGUGGCUGCCCUCAUAAUGCAGUGGACAUCACCCUCGGGACCCGUACCAGUUUAUAUCGUAGAAUCGACUGCACAUUGCGUCCAUCACUCCUGAGGGAUAUUUUUCAAGGGUAGAGAACUAUAUAUAUGGGUCCCUCUAACCUAGCGGCAGGUACUAUCAUUUCCGCCUACGGCUGACAGGCUACAAUGGAAUGCCUCGGAAGAACCGGACACAGCCGUUGAGAAAAAAGGUUUGCAUUGUAGAAGCGAAAAGUACAAAGCACCAGAUGUUUUCAUCAUUGAUAGAGUUGUGGCUGGUGUGGGAUAAUCACGUGUUCCUGGCGGUCGAUACUGCACUCUGUCACAUGUCCGUCCAGGCGAGUUUGUCCGUGCGCGUAUGUGUGUUAUGCUAGUCCCCAUUUGGUAUCCUUAGGCGAGAGACGUACGUGACAUCCAUGAGAUUCUAGUCUGUUUGCCCUCGGCUCCCAGGUUACAGUGGAGAAUACCAGAUACGAAUGUGCGUGCUAACGAACGGGGCGUGUGCACGUAAUGUAGCGGCACGAUGGAACUAGGCCACUUAAUUCCGCCGUUUCUGGCCAUGGCGAUCUCGUAUGCCUUGUAAUAAUGCAUCGGCCAUAUCGUAUCAUAAGCUAUACAAAUCUGGCAGCGUGUGGUGACAAUAGCCCAGCAAACAAUCCCCCUUUCCAUUACAUGUAUGCCUCCGAAAAAGUACUGUGUUCAUGUACAUCAUAACCUGCCGCCAUGCUACAUGCGUGAGGCCGACGGGCUGACGAUUUUGGAUGAAGAUCACCCUUUUUCAUUUCUAUACUAUCCGGAUGCUUGAUGGUUGCCAAUGCAAAGAUGAAAGUGCAGACUGUAAAGUCUGAAACCCCGUUGACAUGUGCGUUUCUGUGAGGAGGGGAGCAGAAGGAGAAUCCUGCUGAUCCAAUUUCCAGACCCUCGUGAGAACAAUAGGCAAUUGGGGGAGUCCCUAAUUAGGAAAGGCUUCAUUAACUCGGACUUCCUCCGAGUGUUGCUUGUGUGUUGUGACGAUUUUUUCCGUCAGGCGCGCAAUGCAGCGUCACGACCAAUUAACUACAUUUCCAAGUGAUUGCGACAUCGGAAAGACGAGACAGCCAGACGGAAAUAUAGGCUGAACCGCUAGGUGAAGCAGCGGUUGAGACCGAGCGACGCUUCCUGUUUAUCCUGUUCGAUUACCAGUGGCUCGUCUUCGUCGCUUAUGUCCCCGGCCGGUGUUGGGCGAGAAGAUGGAGGAAGGUGACGUGACAAAGUCCAUAAUGAAAAAACUUGAAUGACAAAAUCGUCAGAACAGGUAUCAUCAAAAAACGUGUGAUCCUUCUUACCGUGGUCAGCAUUGUACUAACCGGCGUCCGCACAGAGUGGAGAAAAAGGAGAACUUUUUUUUCAGUGUGUGUGUCGCUGUACGGUACAACAUUCUUCGUACAAUUUUUUAUGUGCAUGGUAAGAACACUCCCCUUUUUUUGCCUGCUGGUCGAAUAGAAACCAAACGAACCUCGCGAUGCUGUGAUAACAGCGUCUUGCUUAACUGUCAGUGGAACAACAGUGCACACGUGGCGACUCCUGCAACUGCGUCUGUCUUUGAAGAAGUACAGACACAUGUUUUUGUAGCCUGCCCAGAAAAAAGACUUAUGAUAUGAAAGCGGAGGGUAGUCUAAAAUGAAAGAAGUCUUGAGUCUGAAACGGGUCUUGUACGAGUUCUUGUACGAGUCGAGUCGUGAAUAUCCCUAAUCACACAUGUAGACACCUCAACAGCGCGUUUUGUCAC